GACAACAAAUAAGCUUAUUGGUUCAAAGUGAAAUAACUGUUGCUAUUGGUGUAAAACAUUCCAAGUCCCGCCUCCUCACUCAGGUUAGAGACGCAGUGGAGUGUGGAAAAAACGGAGAUUGAUGAGAGAGCAGCGGAGAAGCUAGAUUUACAGAGUGAUAUUAUUGCUACUUAUACUUGAUAUACUACUGAACAGAGAGAAGUAAAACUAUAUCUGAGCCAGUAAGAGCACCGUCACCUAUUGAAGCGACCUGAGAACAUCUGAGAGCAUCGUUUUAUUCUUUUAUUUUCUCGGCUAGGUUUUCUGGAUACCCUUGAACUCCGGAUUUGGAUUGGAAUCUCUCCCUGACGAGGGGGAUGGCGAGCUACCCAUGCUGAGCACCUGGAUUGAGGAGCGCUUUCAACUUUCAUCUACCUUGCUGUCAGUGUGGUAGGACUGUGAGGAAGGACCUCAAAAGACAAUUGGAUUUCAACAUUUUAUUUUGGGGAUUACUUUUAUUUUUUAGGGUGCACCCAGUUCAAUAUACAUGUCAAACUGAACAAAACUGAAUGCCGGCAGUAAUUGUGAAUUUAUUCUGUGUCAAUACAAUCAUUUUCCUUUAAACUUAA